CAACUUUCAACAACGGAUCUCUUGGUUCUGGCAUCGAUGAAGAACGCAGCGAAAUGCGAUAAGUAGUGUGAAUUGCAGAAUUCAGUGAAUCAUCGAAUCUUUGAACGCACAUUGCGCCCCUUGGUAUUCCAUGGUGCAUGCAUGUCCGAGCGUCAUUU
rnacentral:rRNA from 1 species